rnacentral:misc_RNA from 1 species
GCCAGCUUCUAAGUAAUCAUCCAAAACAUACAUGAAUUAGGUACCCUUUUCAAGGAUGCACACAAAACAAACCUCACCUCACCGAGAUCUCAUAAACUCCACACUGAUCAGACCAGCUCAAUGUAAGCCAUCGGUGCAUUGUCACCCCGUCUUGGUAAAGUUCUGAUGAUUCUGGUGUAGCCACCAUUCCUCUCGCCAUACCUGUCCUGGACCUCCGCAAACAAGGCAUGAACUAUCUGCUUCUCAUAGAUGAAACCCAAUGCUUGUCGUCUCUUGUGCAGAGACCCCUCUUUCGCCAAUGUUAUCAUUUUGUCGACAUACUUUCUCAUCGCACUCGCCCUUGCUCUGGUAGUUUUUAUCCUACCAUGCUUCAAAAGUUGUGUUGUGAGGGCACGAAGUAGGGCUUUUCG